UUACUAGUCUUUCAUCUAUAUGCUUACACGAAAGGAGGUGAGUUAAAUAUAAUUAAACUAUAGGUGUAUUUGGAUACGUAGUAUAGUAGCCUGAUAAUUAUAUUUAGUAGUGAUAAGCUUAUCAAGCUUCUUGAUAACUUGUUGUGUAAGAAAUAUAUUAAGUAUUUAGUCGGACUAUAAAAGUUAAGCUUUAUAGUUACCAUAAAAAGUUAAAAAUUAUUAAGUUAUAGUUUAGUCAUUAAACUGCUUUUUAUAAUAAUAUUAAUCAAUUGGUGUUAUGUUAUUUAUUACACAAUAUAAUAAUAUUAUAAUGUAUUAAUAAUGUAAGUAUAAGUAGUAAUAAAAAAUAUUUUAAAGGAACUCGGCAAAUAUGUUGCUCGACUGUUUAUCAAAAACGUAACUAUAUGGAAUAAUGUAUAGCGGUUCUGCUCAAUGGAAAUCUAAAUAGCCGCAGUACACUGACUGUGCAAAGGUAGCAUAAUCAGUUGGCUUUUAAUUUAAGUCUGGGAUGAAUGAAAGUACGGGUAACAACUGUCUAUCUAUUAUAUUAUAAUAAAAUUAAUAAGCAAGUGCAAACGCUUGCAAAGGUAAAAAAGACGAGAAGACCCUAGAAACUUGUAUUUAUUAUUUUGUUGGGGCGACAGAAUUACAUAUUAAACUAAUUUUAAUGUACAUGACGUAUAUCAGACAGAGUAAGUUACUCUAGGGAUAACAGCAUAAUUUUUACAGUUUGUGACCUCGAUGUUGGACUAGGUAUAUAAUUUUUUAGAAGAAAAUUUGAAUGCUCUGUUCGAGCA
rnacentral:rRNA from 1 species